rnacentral:lncRNA from 1 species
GCCGGAGUUUUUUUUUUUGCUUUUUUUUCGAAAAUUUUUACACCAAAAGAUUCUCCUCCUUCUUCUCCAUGCAAAUCCGGUAUUAGUUUUAAAAAGGGUAGAGAGAUUUGAGCUAGAUCUACAAAUGAAUAUGUGAAAAUUUUUACCUCUUUUUCCGGUCUCCGUCUCUCCUUCCGGUCCGGUUUUGCCUUUUGUUCCGAUCUGGUCCGUUUCCCCCUUGUUCCGGUUCGGCCUCCUUCUCUCCUUUCCGGUUCGGCCUCCUUCUCUCCUUUCCGGUUCGCCUCUUUUCUCCGGUCCGGUCCGGUUCCGUUUGGUUGGGAUGAUGAUGAUUUGUGGUUGUAUGAAUGGUUUGAGUGUUUGAUCUGAAAAAGGGUUGGAAAA